rnacentral:tRNA from 1 species
AGCUUUAUAUUCAAUUAAUGAUUUUAAAUUGCAAAUUUAAAGUUGGUGCUUAGGUACCUAAGGCUU